rnacentral:lncRNA from 1 species
GCUGCUCCUUCUUGCACCGAACUUUUUAUUACCGUAACUGUUGUAGUUGUAGUUGUUGUUUUUUGGCCUUUGCAAAUUGUUUUUGGUGAGGUCCUCCGUUGUCAAUGUGCGUGCGGGAUUGAUUACUGAUUGGCAUGUCGUUUGGCUAUAGCUGGUGGUGGGGCGAUGGUUGCUCCUCUUGCUUCUCUGCUUAUCCUUGUCGGUUGUUUUAGGCAGCUUUUUACCUUCUCCAAAACACACACCCCACACACAGAAACACACCGUUAUGGUCCCACAGGCGGAAGGAGCCUUCCAUCCAGUUGGUUGCUGGCGCGGUAGGCGGUAUACAUAUAAUGACAUAAUGAGAUUUAUUAGGCGCAAAAUAAAGCCAUAAUGUUCCAUUUGACCUUUGU